AUGCACCAACGAAAAUUUGUUUGCUUCCUCGACAAUAAACAGUUUUCUGUAAAUAAAAGAUUUGAUUCUACUUAACUAAUUAACUACAGUUGUUUAGAAAACUUUUCAAGCAAAGUUAAAUGACGUGGAAUAUAGUCAUAUAUGUGCUUACAAACUUUCAGCGUCCCCCGGACUGAUAUGUUAUCGAUUUGUUUUUGUGUUGUUUGAUACUUGAUAAUUUUUCACAUCACAAUACAACAAAUACUCAGACAUGGCAGUGUUAAUGUGGGUAUCAAAUCCUGAGAAUCUACCAUCGUUGUACUCCAAAGUUAAUUUGGGAGUCGCUUGUUUCGACUGCAUCCUCUUCUGGCUGUGGGGACAUUCGUUCGUAAGCAUUUUCAACUGGAUUAUUUUUGGAUUCGAAGUUAUACGCGUGGCAAUAGCGUUUUUGCUGUACAGGGGAGUGAUAGAGAGAGCUCUAAUGAAAUGUAAAAUAUUUUGCCUGGCCGAAUUCGCGUUAUUGUGUUUCGCCUUUCUAUUUAUGAUUUUCGACUUUUCGUCAAUUGCUCAUAUCAUCUGGACAUUGAUCGUAAUUGCCAUACGAGGUUACGGCAUAUGGAUCAUUGGAGGAUUCAUAAGGAUUUUACAAAGUGAACAGGGUGAAAGCGCAUCGUUUCCAUGGAUUUACUUCCCGGAGCCAGUGCAAGUGCAAGACAAAUCCAAUGUUAGCCCAGGACAUCAAAUUCCUCCAGUUUGAGUGAAGCAAAUGGUGGGCUAAGAUUUGUAUGAACAUACACUUUACCAAGAUAUUGCGACAUUUUGUUAGUUCUAAGUCUGUUGUACACAUUUUGUUUACGAAAAUUUUGUCUAAACUUUCAACGAUUGAAUCUCAUCAAUUGAUUUACCGUUUUUUUUUUUUUGCUUAAUUUUAUUUUAUAAAAGUAGAAUAGUCUUAGCUGUCACGUGGUAAAGUUUCACUUAAUUUUUCAGUUGUUCAUUUCAUUUCAACACAAUGGGACCAGAACAUUUUACACCACACCCAAUAGAAAAGUAAAUUUAAUCUUAAUUUCUCGGAACUAUUUACUUAAGAAUAACAAAAGGAAGUCUGAAUUUAGAAAAUUGAGAAUCUCAUACCCGAACGUCCACAAAACCUGUCCUUUCAAAAUUUUCCUUUUCCUGUUAUUCUUCACUAUUUUUUCUGUAAGUAUUUCUGACAUUUUUAAUACGCUUUUACUAAAUCCGCCUCAGUCUUUCAGAGCUGACGGAACUUAUGGAUGUUCUCUAAAAAAAAAACUUAACCAAAAUGGACCAAUGUGAAAAAAUUGGCAUCUAAAAUAUUUUUGAUGU